rnacentral:rRNA from 1 species
UACGGAGGGUGCGAGCGUUGUCCGGAAUCACUGGGCGUAAAGGGCGCGUAGGCGGCCUGAUAAGUAGGGGGUGAAAUCCUGCGGCUUAACCGCAGGGCUGCCUUCUAAACUGUCAGGCUGGAGCACAGUAGAGGCAGGUGGAAUUCCCGGUGUAGCGGUGGAAUGCGUAGAGAUCGGGAAGAACAUCAGUGGCGAAGGCGGCCUGCUGGGCUGUUGCUGACGCUGAGGCGCGACAGCAUGGGGAGCGAACAGG